AGGCCAUGUGAUGUCACCAUACAUCGGUCACAUGACCUAGUUGCAGCUCAGCCCCAUUGAGGUGAAUGGAGCUGAGCUGCAAUACCAAACACCGCCUCCAUACAACGUACGGCACUCUGCUUGAAAAAGGUGGCUGCCUGAAA